rnacentral:lncRNA from 1 species
GCCGCCCAGGUCCCCCCGGGCGUCGAUGAAUGUGGGGUACCAUUCCUUGAUGAUGUGGUCAUGUUUGUAGUCGGCCUUAUUGUCCUUUAGAUGUUCCACGGUGUUCCGCUCGCUCUUCUCAUAGGCCUCCCGGGGCUUCCGGACAGACACCUUGCAUUCUCGGACCUUGUUGACGAUGAAUUCUUGGAUGAGAAACCUGAUAUCUUCCAUGAGGCAGUCAUCAUAAAGAAGUCUGAAUAUCUUGGUUGAGAGCUAGACUUUGGAAACAGAGAGACCCUGUAUAAUAACAGACUAAGAAGUAAGGAAGACAAGCCCAGCCAGUCCCACAACUAUUUCAUUAAUACCAGGUAAAGCAACAGACCUGCCAGUGAAGCAUCUUGGAUCCUUUAGCUUUAGUAAUGUUCUUGUAGUAAUUUUGGAAGUCAAUACUUUCCUUAAGAAUACUAAAGUUUUCUUUUGGGAAAAGAGAAAAACUGAGGAGAGGAAACAAACUGCUCUUAUACCUUCUUCCAUGGUCUUUGGAUGAAGGUUAAGUUAUGGGCCCCAAAAGUGGGCUAGCCUCAUUUGGAUAAUACUCCAUCCUAAGCAGUAUGGUUUUGAAUAAGUUGCUGAGACUUUCUGUGCCUCCAUUUGUAAAUGGUAUAAUAAUACCUAGUUCAUGGAAUUGUUGUGAGAAUGACAUAAGUGAAAGUAUGUAUAUUUCCAUGUUCUAUAUAAACUGGUUUUCUACAAAUUACAAAGCAACAACUAACCAAGUUAAUUGAAAUCGAGUACUUUAUUCAAGUAAUAAAUAUCUGGUAUUUACAAAUCAAAAUUGAAAAUCAUAGUACAUAACGAAAAUUCAUAUAUACAGAUCAACAAAUAUAGUAAUUUAAAACACC